rnacentral:rRNA from 1 species
AAUAAGCCGUAGGGAAACUGGGUCUAAUACCGGAUAGGAGCCAUUUUUAGUGUGAUGGUUGGAAAGUUUUUUCGGUGUAGGAUGAGCUCGCGGCCUAUCAGCCUGUUGGUGGGGGUAAUGGCCUACCAAGGCGGCGACGGGUAGCCGGCCUGAGAGGGUGGACGGCCACAUUGGGACUGAGAUACGGCCCAG